UUCAGUCAUGGAGAGAGGAGGGUCUCACUAGGUCUCACCCCUCUCCAAGAAGUAAGCUAUGAUUGGUUCCUAGAAAAGAAGGGAUCACUGUGUUUAGGGGUGUAGCCACUGUUAAUGUUCCUGACUCAUGUUCCUGUAGUCAACUCGGAAUACAGUAUGAAACUCACACAAAGAGAGAUGUAACAGGAGGAGGAAGAUGUGGUAAUACAAAGAAGGGACAAGGCAGGAAGGGCAAGGAGAUAAAAGAGGAUAAUAAAAUGAUCGGGACCAAAGUCAAUCAUAUGUGCAUGUGCUCCGAAGUGCGAAGGAAUAAAUACUUAUUUAACAGAAAGAAAUGAUGUUUUGCAGUUAUAGGAGCAUAAGGACACUUUCCAAGAGUUUUCAGUAAUUUAAAAACAUCAGAUUGAUGGGAGACCACAUGAAUCUGGAAUUCUGGCACUCUGCUCCUUUUCAUGUUCGUUGACUAUAAGUGAUACCAGUGGCUGUAAAAAGUUGUGAGCUGUUUCCUUGAACUCUGUCAGGCCCCUGACAAUGCUGGAACGUGACAUGAUAAGAAAGCACAAUGGAGCAAGGAGAUGAGGUGUGCUGGCCCAUGCCAGGCAUCUGUGGAGUGUGCUCUUGACUGCCAACAACCCAAGGAUGCCCUAG
rnacentral:lncRNA from 1 species